UACGUAGGGAGCAAGCGUUGUCCGGAUUUACUGGGCGUAAAGAGCGCGCAGGCGGUCGUUCAAGUCGAGUGUGAAAGCCCCCGGCUCAACUGGGGAGGGUCAUUCGAUACUGAUCGACUCGAAGGCAGGAGAGGGUAGUGGAAUUCCCGGUGUAGUGGUGAAAUGCGUAGAUAUCGGGAGGAACACCAGUGGCGAAGGCGACUACCUGGCCUGUUCUUGACGCUGAGGCGCGAAAGCUAGGGGAGCAAACGGG
rnacentral:rRNA from 1 species